UACGUAGGGUGCGAGCGUUGUCCGGAAUUACUGGGCGUAAAGAGCUCGUAGGUGGUUUGUCGCGUUGUCCGUGAAAACUCACAACUCAAUUGUGGGCGUGCGGGCGAUACGGGCAGACUGGAGUACUGCAGGGGAGACUGGAAUUCCUGGUGUAGCGGUGGAAUGCGCAGAUAUCAGGAGGAACACCGGUGGCGAAGGCGGGUCUCUGGGCAUCUCCUGACGCUGAGGCGCGAAAGCGUGGGGAGCAAACGGG
rnacentral:rRNA from 1 species